CAGGCAAAAAUCCUUCUGUUUUUAUAAUGCUCCAAGCACGUUAUACAUGUCAAUGUUAGUGCCGUGUGCCCUACAUAAAUAAAAACAACUUACCAAUGCUCAGCGGGGUGUUACACAUCUUACAGCUAACCUCCGUAUGCGCUGUCUGGUAUCAGUGAGUAAGCUGCUAAUUAGGGUUAGCCAGGAGUGCAGAACGGGGCCGAUUGCAGGGCAGGCACCGACCCAGCACGUGGCUGCACACUGCAAGUUGAACAGUACCCGAGCUCAAGGCUGGCUUUUAUUUUCUGCAUUGUUUCCCUCUGCAUAAACAUCAGGAACAUGCUUAGACAGUAGAAUUGAGCCCGGAUGUCUGGAGGGCAUCUGGAGGUGUUCAGGUGUGUGAUUGCUUCCUGUCUGCCCACCGCAGCGCUCUCCUGUCUGCAGUACAAACACAGCGCUGCUGGAGGUGUGGGUGCUGCGGGGCUGGGCAGGAACGUGGGUAGCAGUGAGAGGCUGCAGUGUGCAGUGUUUGGGGAGGGGGAGUUCUGAAGGAUUUUUGAUGGGUAGCUUACGUGUCUGUUAGGUGAGAGCACAGCGGUGGCAGUAGAAAAUAAGGAGCGUGGAGGCAGUGUCAGUGUGAGAUUUCAGCAACAAAUAUGUGUGUUCUUUUAGGUAGAAUGACUUAAAACGGUUUUUACUGCAUCGCAUUCAGUACAGAUCACACGAGUGAGCGGUCCUUGGGCUGCCCUUACCCACCUGGAGAAACAGCUGCCCCAGGAAGGGGCUCUGUGCCUACCCUGGCAGCAGUCUCCCACUCAUUUCCCUAGAUAAAUGUGAGUGUUCUGUGCAGACUCCAGCAGGAUGCUGUCCCACGUGUGAGGCCAGCUUUGGCGGGUUGUAACCCUGUGAGUCUUGCUUGUUAUUUAAGGGUGUGGGGGCUGCUGGCUCUUGGGCAGUGAGUUUGUGUUUGUGUGCAUUGGGAUGGGGGCGGAGAUGUUCCCUGUCACACCAUCAGAACCAGAGCUCUGGUGGCUGAGGGAAAAGCAAUGAAAUCCCAUUCUAGGAUUUCAGAGAGAAGGUCCAAGGGUGCAUAGGUGGCCAAAGCGUUUGGAGAGACACACAUGGGCACGUGUGUGCUUAACAAGAUUUGGUACCAAAAAAAAAGAAAAGAGGUAUUUUUGCUUUGAAAAUCCCCCUGAGGGCCCCGAUGUCUUCAUGGGGAGCUGUUUGCCCUUGGGCACAAGCCCCUCUGACACCUGGUGGGACAGCAAAAGGUAACGGAGAAGGCUUGAAAUUAAAUAAUGCCUGUGGACUUCUUAAGCGUUGCGUUGAGCUGAACAGAGCACUGUGGCUGUCCCCUGAGGAGCGCUGGGACAGCUGUAAGGGCAGCUUCUGUACAGCCUGCUCCCAUAACAUCUAAUUGCUUUCAUAUCUAUCAAACACUAAAAGCCUUUCUUCGGAGUUGUGCGUUUGUUUUUAAAUCAAAUAGAUUUAUUCUUGAUGUCUCGGGCACAUUAUUGCAGUAACCUCAUCCUUGGACCAAAACUUUGGCAGAACACACGUAUCUGUAAUGAGGACUUUGUGUUCUGUGGAGGCUUUAUUACAAAAGAGGAUGAACAAGUAUAUUAGAAAGAAAGGGGAGAAACAGGGAAGACUACUUUUUUUGGCAAAGCUUUGUGCUACAGCUCUCGUUUCUCUGGUUGCAGCUGCCUUCAGGCGCACAUCUCAGUCCCUUGUUAUGUUGUGCUCAACUGUUGAUGCUUCCCAGGUUUGCUCUUUGGUGAAACAGGCACGUGUGCAGGUUCCCCAUAAAAAUGGCCGGUUUGGGUUUUACCAGGAACUCUGGCACUUCUCCAUUAUAAGAAGGGAUUACAUUUUUAGGGAGAAUUAACAAGGCAGGAGUAGUGAAGCACUUGAAAUGUCCAGUUUAAUUCUCUCUCUUCCUGCAAACAAGCUCACACGAGCAGGUUUUUCAGAAGUCCUGAAAUGAAAGCUUCCUGGAAGAAAUACAUUUCCCUGUGGGACCACACAGCUCUCAGUCCUGCCUCCGUGUGAAGGUAAGAAAGCUCUGUUUUCAUUUACUAUUUAUGAGAUGUGCAUUCGUAUUACAAAGUGACCAUAGGAUUCUGGGCUCUUAAGAAUCUCCAAAUGAGAUGGAGCUCAUUACUUUUUAAUGUAAAAAGGAUUAUUGUGAUCUUAGUGACAGGAUAUGUGACCUCAGCUAUGUGUCUUGCUGUAGGAUAUGUACUGAGGCUUUUCCUUUAGGGAGGUGAUAAAGCACACGCAAGUAUUUUCCACGUUCUGUUCAGCUUAUAGAGAUAUUUAUUAGAAAUAAAACCAAAGGAGAUGUAUAUACAUAUUGUAAUUGCAGACCAUGACUGGUGAAUUCAUGUGAAUUUUACUAUUGAGAUAAAUGCAGGGGCGCGCUUUCAAAAUAAAGGCUCAUAAUUGCAUAAAGGCUCCUGUCUCCAUGGUUGUUCUCACGGUCCCAAAGGAAAGCAGAGUCUGAUUAUCAGGGAAUCUCCUGUGAAUAUUUCCCCAGUAAAUUGGGAUUUCCUUUGCAGAUGAUGUUCCUGGGUGUCAAGCCACGGCCCUGCUCUGGUGGCAUGUGAGGUGUGAGCCUCCAACUGCCUCUGGCUGUACUGCAGCAAUCCACAGAAUGACUGGAAGCACAGCACAUGAGCUUUCUGGCUUUAUUUCUUGCAAGUACUGCUGGGCCUGUCCCCUUCCAUGCCCGUCUGCUUCGCUGAUGAAAGCUGCCCUGGAGCCUGCAGGUUGCACAUAGGUUGUGUGCACAACGUGGACGUUAUUUAAAGAAAUGCCAACAGGUAGGGAAGGUGUUUUGCUUUUGGGAGAACGUGCCAGAUGGACAGCAUGCCAAAGACAGCUCAAGGAGGAGACAGCUUGGGAAAUGGGAGCAUACAUCUCGCCGGUCUGAAGAGAGCUCAUAGCAGCUCAGGAUCUUUCUGAUUUUUAUGAGCCUUGGAAUGAAUAGCCCUAAAUAGAAGAUAGAUGCAAAC
ensembl:lncRNA